rnacentral:rRNA from 1 species
AAGCAGGAUGUGAANUCCCCGGGCUCAACCUGGGAACUGCGUUNUGAACUGGGUGACUAGAGUGUGUCAGAGGGAGGUAGAAUUCCACGUGUAGCAGUGAAAUGCGUAGAGAUGUGGAGGAAUACCGAUGGCGAAGGCAGCCUCCUGGGAUAACACUGACGUUCAUGCCCGAAAGCGUGGGUAGCAAACAGGAUUAGAUACCCUGGUAGUCCACGCCCUAAACGAUGUCGAUUAGCUGUUGGGCAGCAUGACUGCUUAGUAGCGAAGCUAACGCGUGAAAUCGACCGCCUGGGGAGUACGGUCGCAAGAUUAAAACUCAAAGGAAUUGACGGGGACCCGCACAAGCGGUGGAUGAUGUGGAUUAAUUCGAUGCAACGCGAAGAACCUUACCUGGUCUUGACAUGUACGGAACCCUUCAGAGACGGAGGGGUGCCUUCGGGAGCCGUAACACAGGUGCUGCAUGGCUGUCGUCAGCUCGUGUCGUGAGAUGUUGGGUUAAGUCCCGCAACGAGCGCAACCCUUGUCAUUAGUUGCCAUCAUUAAGUUGGGCACUCUAAUGAGACUGCCGGUGACAAGCCGGAGGAAGGUGGGGAUGACGUCAAGUCCUCAUGGCCCUUAUGACCAGGGCUUCACACGUCAUACAAUGGUCGGUACAGAGGGUAGCCAAGCCGCGAGGCGGAGCCAAUCUCACAAAACCGAUCGUAGUCCGGAUUGCACUCUGCAACUCGAGUGCAUGAAGUCGGAAUCGCUAGUAAUCGCAGGUCAGCAUACUGCGGUGAAUACGUUCCCGGGUCUUGUACACACCGCCCGUCACACCAUGGGAGUGGGGGAUACCAGAAGUAGGUAGGGUAACCGCAAGGAG